GAGAGAAAUGAAGAUUUGUUACCCAUCUAUUCUGUAUAAGGAUGAUGACUUUUUAACAUGCACUACCAUCUGAUCUCUC